rnacentral:rRNA from 1 species
GACGAACGCUGGCGGCGUGCUUAACACAUGCAAGUCGAACGGUAAGGCCCUUCGGGGUACACGAGUGGCGAACGGGUGAGUAACACGUGGGUGAUCUGCCCUGCACUUCGGGAUAAGCCUGGGAAACUGGGUCUAAUACCGGAUAGGACUCCGGCCUGCAUGGUCUUGGGUGGAAAGCUUUUGCGGUGUGGGAUGGGCCCGCGGCAUAUCAGCUUGUUGGUGGGGUGAUGGACUACCAAGGCGACGACGGGUAGCCGGCCUGAGAGGGUGACCGGCCACACUGGGACUGAGAUACGGCCCAGACUCCUACGGGAGGCAGCAGUGGGGAAUAUUGCACAAUGGGCGCAAGCCUGAUGCAGCGACGCCGCGUGAGGGAUGACGGCCUUCGGGUUGUAAACCUCUUUCAGCAUCGACGAAGCGAAAGUGACGGUAGGUGCAGAAGAAGGACCGGCCAACUACGUGCCAGCCGCCGCCGUAA